AAAUUGUCCAAUAAAUAGGCUUCCCAAUUAUGUAAAAAGUGCGUAUCAUACGCACCUCAAAAUCAGCUGAAGCUGACAUAGAUUGAUUAAAGAGUACGGUUUUUUAGCCGUACUUUUUAUUUGGAUAGUUAUCUCGUUAAAUUUGUUUUAAAUUUAAUCACUUACGGAAGA
rnacentral:ncRNA from 22 species